CGAACUCUGUCUAUGUCCGUCAAACAAACGAGGAAGUAAUGGCGUCUCGCGUCGUUUCGCUUUCCGAUAUUCCUGACAAAUUAUCAUAAAUGUGACAUUACAAUGCGAAAAAAAUAGAAGUCAAAGGAAUUUGUAACUGGCUGCUACAUCGGAAGGCUCGAUAUAUCUUUAGAAAAUGACGAUAUCUAACAUUGACGGGGUGAAAUCUAUCCAAGUCAGAGAAAAUCGGAUAGCCGCCAUGUUGUCAACAUUGACAUCGAUACAAAGGAAAAGCGUGUGUGUGACGCAUACUGUAAAUGCAAACAAGGAAAUUGUGGAACAUGUUCACACACUCUGGCUGUAAAAGUAGACCUGAGAGGAAAAUUGCCCCCGGUGUGGGGUUCGAACUCACAACCACCAGAACACUAGCCCAGCCCUCUAACCAACUAAGCUGACCGGGCAGCUGGUUCUAACCCACACACACUACCCUCCCCCCAUUUACCGGUUAAGGCUGGUGGAGGGUCUCCUGCUAUUUACCGUUGACACCAUUAAAGUAUUCUGAUUGAUGGAGAUAAGGAAGUCCCCUUAUUAUUGUCUUCAACAAGCCUACCGCAACAGGGGACCUAGCAUAAGACCGGAAACCGCCCCCCCCCCCCCACACACACACACACAUGAUAUUUGCCAGUCCAGGCAAUGUCAACCGCAAGAGAAAACCAGUGAUGACAAGUUUUACAAAUAAUCGGAAAGUGUGGUCUUUUGAAGAGAGUUCUUGAAGUUGUUCAGCAUGUUGUUUUGAUGGAUUCUUGGAAGGAUGUACCUCUAUGAUGUUAGCUUCAGUUCUGGAUUAUAACACCAGUUGUUGCAUAUUUAACAUCAGAUUUAUUAAAUACAUUGUUGUUUUGCAAACAUUAUUUAAACUUUGAUAUUUCUUUGGUGUUUAUGUAUGAUAUUGUAGGUGAAUAUCUCUUUAUUGCUAUGGCAAAUAUAUUUUAAAAUAUAUAGCAUUAGCAGAAGUUAUUUUUCACUGUUAAAGCUGCACUUCCACAGAUUGGUCAUUUUGACAACUUACACAGGAUUUGAUUGCAUUUAUCAUAUUUUGGCUCGGAGAAGUUUGCUUUGUGAUUUAUAUAUUAGGUCUUAAUUUAAAGAAUGCCAAAAUAAGCCGAUUCUGAGACAAAAAGUGUCAAACUAGAAUUCUGUGAGAGUGCAACUUUAAGAAUACUAUUAAUUGAGUGUGCAUGUGAUCCGGACUCUGAACAUUGGAUGAACUAUCAUUAAAUAUUGUAGAUUUACGUAAAUGGCCCAAAAUAUAAGAAUAACAAUGAAAAUAUGUA